UUUAGAUUAUGCAGUUUGUCCAAAAUUGCCUUUAUGUCUCCAGGCCACAUGUGCUUGGAAGCAUCAAUUCUGAACCCUGCAACACCAAUGUCAAUGAGAUGGUUUACUACCUUCCGGGAACCAGUUACUGUUUAGAUUAUGCAGUUUGUCCAAAAUUGCCUUUAUGUCUCCAGGCCACAUGUGCUUGGAAGCAUCAAUUCUGAACCCUGCAACACCAAUGCCACAUGUGCUUGGAAGCAUCA
rnacentral:lncRNA from 1 species